UACGUAGGGGGCUAGCGUUGUCCGGAUUUAUUGGGCGUAAAGAGCGUGUAGGCGGCCAGGUAGGUCUGCUGUGAAAACUCGAGGCUUAACCUCGAGAUGUCGGCGGAAACCAUCUGGCUAGAGUCCGGAAGAGGUGAGUGGAAUUCCCAGUGUAGCGGUGAAAUGCGUAGAUAUUGGGAGGAACACCAGUGGCGAAGGCGGCUCACUGGACCGGAACUGACGCUGAGGCGCGAAAGCGUGGGGAGCAAACGGG
rnacentral:rRNA from 1 species